GCAAUUGGUCCCGCUACGCGCGCGGCCCCGGGAGCCGCCGCCCUCCGCCCCCGCCGAGCCCCGCGGCGGCGGCGGCGGCGGCCACCUGGAGGGAGGGAGCCGGCCCCCUCCUCUGAGCUCCACCUUCUCUUUCUCCUCCUUCUCCCCUGGAACUUAUUCCCUGCGUUUUCCCCCCCUCUCUCUCUUCUUUGCGGGGCACCCUGGCCAGUCUGAACCGGUUGUGACUGCGCGGUUGGCUGGGGGAAGGAGGAGGAGGAGAUGGAGGCGGAAAAGCGGGCGACAGGUAGUGGGCAAGGACGCUGAGAAGGAUGUGUGCUGCAUCCCCGCAGAGAGUCACUGCAGCAGACUGGGGACGGUCCAUAGGUACCAGGGGCUCGCCGGGUGUGGGAACCUCCUAAAGAGAUAUGCACUUUUUGUGUUCCUGUGUGUAAACAUAUUUCUGAGAAGGGCACCAUACCUCCUACUAGCUUCUCAAAGGCGGCUAGAGCCAUCCAUCCCCCAGGAGGACAAUUCCCUUUUUACACUGACCACCUCAGGUUCUGACCUAUACAAAGACGCCUUGCAAAGCGUAGGUUUCUGAAGUCCAGAUUAAGCUGCCUAACCUUCCUGAGCCUCAGUUUUCUCAUCUUGCCAGCAUCAUGGAGUCUGUGUGAGAUGGGAGUUCAAAAAACCUGUGGACCCUGACCACACUCAAGUUUUCUCACAAGUAUGAAAACAGUGGUUCAUCCCUUUUGCCCCACACCAUUCCUUUCUACACAGUUUACUGACUUUUAGGCUAUAGGGAAGUUCUGUGUCUCUGUUCUCAUCUCCACCAAGUCUUCCCAGAUUUUUUUUAAAAAGAGUGUAUGACCAGCACUCCCAUGUCUGCUCAGGCCAGUUCUAUCAACUAAGAACUGAAAUGAGCUCAUCCUUACACACAGUAUGAUCCCAACUUUGGCAUAAAAGUGGAUCUCGGGGGUCAAAAACUCAAAAGGCUGGGGGUCCAGACUCAUAAUGUAGUGAAUAAAGUACUGCCUGCAGAACUUAGGGAGCA
rnacentral:lncRNA from 1 species